GAUGAAGAACGUAGUGAAAUGCGAUAAGUGAUGCGAAUUGCAGAAUUCCGUGAGUCAUCGAAUCUUUGAACGCACAUUGCGCCCUUUGGCAUUCCGAAGGGCAUGCCUGUUCGAGCGUCAUUUAUCAACCCUCAAGCCCGGCUUGCGGUUGGGUCCCGCCGUGGGCGACCACGGCGGACCCGAAAGGUAAUGGCGGUGCCCGUGGGGCCCUGGACGCAGCGAGCUUCUCGGCACGCGUCCCGGCGGUCCCCGGCGCCGUCUCCACCAAUCCACCACGCAGAUUGACCUCGGAUCAGGUAGGGAUACCCGCUGAACUUAAGCAUAUCAAUAAGCGGAGGA
rnacentral:misc_RNA from 1 species